rnacentral:rRNA from 1 species
AUAUUAAAGGGCCGCGGUAUUUUGACCGUGCUAAGGUAGCAUAAUCAUUAGUUUUUUAAUUGAAAGCUAGAAUGAAUGGUUGGAUAAAAAAUUUUCUGUCUCAAUUUUAAUUAAAUAAAUUUUAUUUUUAAGUAAAAAAGCUUAAAUAAUUUUAAAAGACGAGAAGACCCUAUAGAGUUUUAUAAUUAUUAAAUUAAAUAUUUUUAGGAUUAUAAAUGUUUAAAUUAAAAAUUAUUUAGUUGGGGUGAUUGGAAAAUUUAAUAAACUUUUUUUAAAAUUAAAACAUUAAUAUAUGAAAUAUUGAUCUUAUUAUUUUGAUUAUAAGAUUAAAUUACCUUAGGGAUAACAGCGUAAUUUUUUUUUARAGUUCAUAUUAAAAAAAAAGAUUGCGACCUCGAUGUUGGAUUAAAAUUAAUUUUUGGUGUAGAAGUUAAAAAUUUUAGGUCUGUUCGACCUUUAAAAUUUUACAUGA